AGAAUGUGCAGUUAUGGUUUGCCAGAUCUCAUGAUAGAUCCUCAUUAUAUAUGCCCUGCCUUGUACAAAGGAAGCGGCUAGAUUAGUGGACUGGCCAACAAAGGAUCUGGAAUGCAGAGAAACUCCUUUUAACUAUAUAGAAUCCAUCUCUGGUUGGUAAACCCAUGCAGUAUUACUGUCAUUCCAAGGUUUCUGGGGCACUUACAAGUGAUGUAGAAGACAUUUGGUUCCCCUACAAUUGAUAUUGGAAGCAUACUUCUGAGACCCCGCCUCUCAAAGGAGUCUUCAUCCUAGCAGCUCGAUUGACUACCUUUCUCUGAAUUUAUCCAGGGAGCUGGUUUGAGGAAAAACAAAUCAAAACUGACAACAGGAGUCGAAAACAUUGAGAAUUGUGAAAUUUCGUCGAAAUACUUGAGAAAGAAAAAUUCCAAGAGAUUCCAGUCCUGAUGUGGACACAAGUAAAAGUACUCAGUAAACCUCCGAUCUGGGCUUGUUUACAAUUUGUUUGAACCCUACUUGGAAGAGGAACCAAAAAACCCAUGUGUAUGAUGAAAA